rnacentral:rRNA from 1 species
UGAGCCCCCUAAAGAGUCGUUCAAGACCAGGACGUUGAUAGGUCAGGUGUGGAAGCGCAGUAAUGCGUUAAGCUAACUGAUACUAAUUGCUCGUGCGACUUGACCCU